rnacentral:rRNA from 1 species
GACGAACGCUGGCGGCGUGCCUAAUACAUGCAAGUAGAACGCAGUUGCGAACGGGUGAGUAACGCGUAGGUAACUGCCUGGUAGCGGGGGAUAACUAUUGGAAACGAUAGCUAAUACCGCAUACUACCAGAUGGACCUGCGUUGUAUUAGCUAGUUGGUGAGGUAACAGCUCACCAAGGCAACGAUACAUAGCCUACCUUGAAGGGUGAGUGGCCAAACUGGGACGUAGACAAGGCCCAGAAUCCUACGGGUGGCAGCAGUAGGGAAACUUCGGCAAUUGGGGGAACCCUGACCGAGCAACGCCGCGUUAGUGAAGAAGGUUUUCGGAUCGUAAAGCUCUGUUGUUAAGGAAGCGGUACUUGACCAGAAAGGGACGGCUAACUACGUGCCAGCAGCCGCGGUAAUUC